AAAAAAAAAAAAGUUACACAUUUGUUACUGUGCUUGCUAGAAAAUCAAAAGAUUCCUUGUUCUCCCUAACUUUUCAAUCUGUUGUCAGCAGCAGCACCUCUUCACACAAAAUGCACAUAGCAGGAUAUCCAUACUGCAAGAUGUGAAGCCCAAAAUACCAUCUGCAACACCUCAACAACCCAAAAGAACAUCCGCAUCAUAUUAGUU
rnacentral:lncRNA from 1 species